UGGGUCUUGCUGGAUUCCAACCAGGCCUGA
rnacentral:piRNA from 1 species